UAAAAAACAUACUCCUUCUAAAAAGGAAAUGAUGGAUGAUACUGAAGAGGAAAUGAGAAGGAGAUGGAAAAUGGGUUACAAAAGGCACCAAGCACAUAUGAUGGGCCCUGUUCAAGAGAUUUCGUUGCACUCAACAAUUACCUUCAGUCCAUUGACUGGACGCAUGAUCUUUCCGGUUUAUCACUUCAAGUAUCAAUAUUAUACGGACUUAGCAAACACCGCUGGAGUAAAAAACAUUGAUUUUGUUAUGGCAAAACUUCAUGAUGUCAGCAGUGGGCGGUUCCUAGAUGAUUUAGUGAAUUUUAGAAAUGAUAUUUUUAGAAUUGUCGAUGAAACUACUUUUAUAAAAAUAAACUAAAAACCACAUUAUUUUUAUUAUAUUUAGUAAAAGGUUUGUUCGUCGAUAUUAUACAUAAAUAUAUUACAAAUUAAAUUAAAACUAAUGUUGAAAUUUGGAGAAUCUAAUCAUAAGUACAGUAUGAAAUAAAUUAGUUUUUUUGCAUGUGCAAAUCAAACAAAUUUUUGAUUUCAAAAACCCAUCCCCUGAACUUGCUGUGACGAUUUCAAACUAUAAAGUGUUUUUUUCAGCCAAAACUUUUUUUCAGGGAAGUCAUAUAUCUUGGUUUGGUUUCCAGUAACGGCCUUAGGGGGUGGCCAACGAGGCAAUCGCCUGGGGUCUCGCGCUUUGAGGGGCCUCGCGCAACAACCUAAGCUAAUUAGUUAAUUAGUUGCACAAAAUCGUGCACUUUCUGAUAAAAGCAUGAAAUUUAUACCUAUCCUUGGUAGUACUCAAUAUAAGAGUUAUUUUGAGAUAUUGGGCCACCUUGUAUUCCAUCUGGGAGGGUAGGUACAAGAGCUUUUCUGUGUUGCAUCCGUAUUGUUUCAUAUCAUAGCACAAUUUUAUUAAUAUAAAACAUGAUUUCGAGGUAAUUUUUAACGCCCGAUCGAAUAAAAUUAUUACCAAAAUGUUAUUGUAAUCUUUAUAAAUAGUCAUUUACUUAAAGAACAAGAGCAAAAAUAUUACCAAGUACACCGACAAAAAACGUGGGGCUCUCGAAAAAGCCGACUUUAAACUCCGCUAUGGCAUUAGGAAUGCCAAAAUAAAGAUUCUGCAAAGUCAGGAAGCGGACCCUAACCUAGUUGAGGAUAUAGUCGAGGAUGACGAUACCCCCAAAGAGGCAGGGUUCUCCGGCGAGAGGCUGAUAACUGACGAUGCAGAAUCCGAUAUAAAUUAAAAACAUGCUGCACGUCGUUAGGGUUAAUCUGAAGCACUCUAAAUGUGCUUCAGAUAACCUGAGAGUUUUCCUAAGGGAGGAAAACUUUGAUGUGGGCAUCAUACAAGAGCCCUGGAUUAAUGGCCUCCGAGUGAGAGGUCUCCAAGACAGCCAAUAUGACCUUUUUUACAAGCCCGUCAGUUCGAGCCAAGGUAAGCCAAGAACAUGUAUUUUAGCUAAAAAACACUUAAAAGCUUUUUUGUGUCCCAAUCUUAGCACCUCUGAUUUGACCGUUGUCAAAUUAGAGGGUUCAAAUACUGAAGGACUACUUUUGGCAUCUGCGUACAUGGCACAUGACCAGCAGUCACCGCCGGAGGAAGUACGUAGGCUGACAACUCAAGCCAGUACAAUGAAGACAAGCCUACUCAUCGGGUGUGACGCAAAUGCACGUCAUACUCUUUGGGGUAGUUCUGAGAUCAAUGAUCGAGGUGAGUCUUUAUUUGAUUAUAUCAUUGAAAAUAACCUUACCCUUUGCAAUAGAGGUACUACUCCAACAUUCACGUUUCCUAGUUCAAGGAACUAUGAAGGAUGGGAGGAUGUACUAGACAUCACUAUUACAAAUAGCAACUUCAAUUUGCAGGUUGAAAAUUGGAGAGUAUCCCCUUUAAAAUCCUUUUCAGACCAUAGUUGGAUUCUGUUCCAACUUAAGUUUGAAACCAAAAUCCCACCCCCUUAUAGAAAUCCCAAAAGAACUGACUGGAAGAAUUUCGGUCAAGUUUUUAGUGUAAAGUUACGCAAUAUACCCAAUAUAAAUACAGAUUCGGUGGAUGAUCUCAAAUCAAAGGUAAUGACCUUUGAACGAGCAAUGAUCACUGCCUUUAAAGUCUCUUGUCCGGUGAGACAUAGUAGCAAAAUAUUUCCCCCUUGGUGGAACGAAGACCUGUCUAAUCUGAGGAAAAUGACUAGAACAAUCUUCAACAUCUGCCAUAAACACAAAUUCUAUGAACCCUAUAAAGAUUGCUUAAGAGUCUACAAGCGUAGCAUAGCAUCAGCCAAAAAGGAAAGCUGGGAGGAAUACUGUCACUCCAUAGAAGAUAUUAAGGAUUCUGCCAGGCUUAGCAAGGUUUUAUCGAGGGAACACUCAAAUCCCUCGUUUCUUAAAAAGUCUGACGGAUCCUGAACAAUAUCUCCAGCUGAAUCCUUAGAAUUAUUAAUGACUACUCAUUUUCCGGGGUGCGUUGAUAGCACCUCUGAAGUGAACACAAAUCCCACUUUGCCAUCAGUUACGACUGAGCAAGUAAACCCCUUGAUAACAAGAGAAAAUAUAGCUUGGGCUAUUAACACUUUCUCUCCGUACAAAUCCCCAGGCCCUGAUGGUAUUCUGCCCAUUAUGCUGCAAAAUCAGCAAGAGAUAGCAGUUCUAUGGCUUGAAAAAAUCUUUAAAGGCUGCCUUCUUCUUAAUCAUGUGCCCAAGUCUUGGAGACAAGUUAGCGUGGUUUUCAUACCCAAAGUGGGCAAAAGAGGACAUGAAUCCGCGAAGGAUUUCCGGCCAAUAAGUUUAACAUCUUUCUUACUUAAAUCCUUAGAACGAAUCUUAGAAACUCAUAUUAGAGACAUUUUUAAAAGAUGUCCUCUAGCCAGUUCGCAGCACGCUUAUAUGAGGGGCAAAUCUACGGAAACAGCCCUCCAUGAAGUCGUUCGAACAAUUGAGAACUCGAUACACUUUAAAGAAUAUACCCUAGCUACCUUCUUGGAUGUAGAGGGAGCUUUUAACAAUGUCCUACCCGAAUCUAUUCUCGAAGCCCUAGUGACUUUUGAAGUAGAAGACUAUAUCAGAAGUUGGAUUAUUUCAAUGCUAAAAGAGAGAAGAAUUCAAGCAAGCUUAGGAAAUUCAAACUGUUUUAAAUGCAUUAAUAGGGGUACGCCUCAGGGUGGCGUUCUUUCCCCACUUUUAUGGCUCCUUGUCAUGAACAAUAUCCUCGUGAAGCUUGAGAGAAGUGGAGUGAAGGCAGUGGCAUAUGCGGAUGAUCUGGUUGUACUUGUAUCAGGAAAGUUUUUACCUGUGAUCAGUGAAAUGACUGACACGGCUUUGAGAAAAGUUAGCAACUGGGCUACAAGCUGUGGCCUAGGAGUUAAUCAAAGUAAAACGGAACUGAUGCUUUUUACAACUAAAACCAAAAUCCCUGCCUUCCCUCUACCUCAGCUCAACGGCCAAAUCUUAUCACUUUCUUCUAGCGCCAAAUAUUUAGGUGUAAUUUUGGACACUAAACUGAGCUGGAAGCUUAAUAUAGAAGAGCGGGUUAGAAAGGCGAGCAUUGCUUUCUAUGCCUGCAGUAAAACCUUUGGGAAAAAAUGGGGUCUUAAAUCAAAAAUGAUUCUAUGGACUUACACAGCGGUUGUACGACCCAUUCUUACCUACGGCGCCAUUGUUUGGUGGCCUGCACUUAAUAAAGCUUAUAACAUCAACAAACUUAAGAAAAUCCAGAGAACAGCAAGCGUAGGGACGACUGGAGCCCUCCGGUCGUGCCCCACGGAGGCUCUAAACGUUCUCUUGCACCUCUUACCCAUAGACCUUCAUAUUAAAUACCAGGUCUCUUGUAGCGUUUUAAGGCUAAAAGAAACAGGUAGUUGGAAAGCAAAAUCUUUUGGUCACAGUGACACAACAAAUUUAAUACCAUCGGAUAUGCUUCUGACACCCACGGACUACUGCACCCCUAUUUUGAAUACUGUAAUGAAUUGCAAGGUCAGCUUCCCGUCGAGAUCAGACUGGGAAGAGGGCAUUGUGACGAGAGGCUUCGACACCUGCAUUUUCACUGAUGGCUCAAAAAUCUUAGCACCUCUGAUUUGACCGUUGUCAAAUUAGAGGGUUCAAAUACUGAAGGACUACUUUUGGCAUCUGCGUACAUGGCACAUGACCAGCAGUCACCGCCGGAGGAAGUACGUAGGCUGACAACUCAAGCCAGUACAAUGAAGACAAGCCUACUCAUCGGGUGUGACGCAAAUGCACGUCAUACUCUUUGGGGUAGUUCUGAGAUCAAUGAUCGAGGUGAGUCUUUAUUUGAUUAUAUCAUUGAAAAUAACCUUACCCUUUGCAAUAGAGGUACUACUCCAACAUUCACGUUUCCUAGUUCAAGGAACUAUGAAGGAUGGGAGGAUGUACUAGACAUCACUAUUACAAAUAGCAACUUCAAUUUGCAGGUUGAAAAUUGGAGAGUAUCCCCUUUAAAAUCCUUUUCAGACCAUAGUUGGAUUCUGUUCCAACUUAAGUUUGAAACCAAAAUCCCACCCCCUUAUAGAAAUCCCAAAAGAACUGACUGGAAGAAUUUCGGUCAAGUUUUUAGUGUAAAGUUACGCAAUAUACCCAAUAUAAAUACAGAUUCGGUGGAUGAUCUCAAAUCAAAGGUAAUGACCUUUGAACGAGCAAUGAUCACUGCCUUUAAAGUCUCUUGUCCGGUGAGACAUAGUAGCAAAAUAUUUCCCCCUUGGUGGAACGAAGACCUGUCUAAUCUGAGGAAAAUGACUAGAACAAUCUUCAACAUCUGCCAUAAACACAAAUUCUAUGAACCCUAUAAAGAUUGCUUAAGAGUCUACAAGCGUAGCAUAGCAUCAGCCAAAAAGGAAAGCUGGGAGGAAUACUGUCACUCCAUAGAAGAUAUUAAGGAUUCUGCCAGGCUUAGCAAGGUUUUAUCGAGGGAACACUCAAAUCCCUCGUUUCUUAAAAAGUCUGACGGAUCCUGAACAAUAUCUCCAGCUGAAUCCUUAGAAUUAUUAAUGACUACUCAUUUUCCGGGGUGCGUUGAUAGCACCUCUGAAGUGAACACAAAUCCCACUUUGCCAUCAGUUACGACUGAGCAAGUAAACCCCUUGAUAACAAGAGAAAAUAUAGCUUGGGCUAUUAACACUUUCUCUCCGUACAAAUCCCCAGGCCCUGAUGGUAUUCUGCCCAUUAUGCUGCAAAAUCAGCAAGAGAUAGCAGUUCUAUGGCUUGAAAAAAUCUUUAAAGGCUGCCUUCUUCUUAAUCAUGUGCCCAAGUCUUGGAGACAAGUUAGCGUGGUUUUCAUACCCAAAGUGGGCAAAAGAGGACAUGAAUCCGCGAAGGAUUUCCGGCCAAUAAGUUUAACAUCUUUCUUACUUAAAUCCUUAGAACGAAUCUUAGAAACUCAUAUUAGAGACAUUUUUAAAAGAUGUCCUCUAGCCAGUUCGCAGCACGCUUAUAUGAGGGGCAAAUCUACGGAAACAGCCCUCCAUGAAGUCGUUCGAACAAUUGAGAACUCGAUACACUUUAAAGAAUAUACCCUAGCUACCUUCUUGGAUGUAGAGGGAGCUUUUAACAAUGUCCUACCCGAAUCUAUUCUCGAAGCCCUAGUGACUUUUGAAGUAGAAGACUAUAUCAGAAGUUGGAUUAUUUCAAUGCUAAAAGAGAGAAGAAUUCAAGCAAGCUUAGGAAAUUCAAACUGUUUUAAAUGCAUUAAUAGGGGUACGCCUCAGGGUGGCGUUCUUUCCCCACUUUUAUGGCUCCUUGUCAUGAACAAUAUCCUCGUGAAGCUUGAGAGAAGUGGAGUGAAGGCAGUGGCAUAUGCGGAUGAUCUGGUUGUACUUGUAUCAGGAAAGUUUUUACCUGUGAUCAGUGAAAUGACUGACACGGCUUUGAGAAAAGUUAGCAACUGGGCUACAAGCUGUGGCCUAGGAGUUAAUCAAAGUAAAACGGAACUGAUGCUUUUUACAACUAAAACCAAAAUCCCUGCCUUCCCUCUACCUCAGCUCAACGGCCAAAUCUUAUCACUUUCUUCUAGCGCCAAAUAUUUAGGUGUAAUUUUGGACACUAAACUGAGCUGGAAGCUUAAUAUAGAAGAGCGGGUUAGAAAGGCGAGCAUUGCUUUCUAUGCCUGCAGUAAAACCUUUGGGAAAAAAUGGGGUCUUAAAUCAAAAAUGAUUCUAUGGACUUACACAGCGGUUGUACGACCCAUUCUUACCUACGGCGCCAUUGUUUGGUGGCCUGCACUUAAUAAAGCUUAUAACAUCAACAAACUUAAGAAAAUCCAGAGAACAGCAAGCGUAGGGACGACUGGAGCCCUCCGGUCGUGCCCCACGGAGGCUCUAAACGUUCUCUUGCACCUCUUACCCAUAGACCUUCAUAUUAAAUACCAGGUCUCUUGUAGCGUUUUAAGGCUAAAAGAAACAGGUAGUUGGAAAGCAAAAUCUUUUGGUCACAGUGACACAACAAAUUUAAUACCAUCGGAUAUGCUUCUGACACCCACGGACUACUGCACCCCUAUUUUGAAUACUGUAAUGAAUUGCAAGGUCAGCUUCCCGUCGAGAUCAGACUGGGAAGAGGGCAUUGUGACGAGAGGCUUCGACACCUGCAUUUUCACUGAUGGCUCAAAAAUGGAUUGUGGGGUCGGUUCGGGUGUCUACUAUGAAUCCCUCAAUAUCUCAAAAUCCUUUCGACUACCAAACUUUGCCAGUGUAUUCCAAGCAGAAUUGCUGGCAUUUAAAGAAGCUUGCAAAUUACUUAGAGUAUAUCCAAAUCAAAGCCAAAAUACAGCUAUACUAACAGAUAGUCAGGCAGCUAUAAAAGCAAUUGAUUCGGUCACGACAUCCUCCAAAUUGGUUCAGCAGUGCAGAGAGGAACUCUCAUUGCUGAGUGGAAGCCUCACAAUCACUCUCAUCUGGAUCCCAGGUCACAGUGGUUUUGAAGGCAAUGAAAAGGCGGAUGAACUGGCCAGGCAAGGAUCAGCCCUUCAUGAGUCACUAGCAGAAAUAGUUAACAUUCCCAUAGGAGUCAUGAAGGGCGAUAUCUUCUUAAAAUACCUAACAAAAGCUAACAAUAGGUGGCACAACUUGACUAGCUGCGUCAUAUCCAGAAAAAUCUGGCCCACCUAUAAUAAAUCCAAAACAUAUGACCUAAUCUCUAGACCCAGAAAAGAUAUUAGCAGAAUCGUUGCGGUGUGCACAGGACAUUGGCCGAUAGGGGAACAUGCAGCAAAGUUGGGUAUACCGCACAAUACCUAGUGUCGCAGCUGCUUGGACCAGCAAGAAAAAGAAACGGUCUUCCAUUUCCUAUGUCAAUGUCCCGCCCUUGCUAGGAAUAGAGCACUCUCUCUGGGGAGUGAAUUCUUUAAUGUCAUAGAUAACAUCUCAGAAUCAAAGAUCAAAAACUUGAUCUCGUUCCUAAAUGCAACAAAGUGGAUUUAGGACUGCCUAACACUUGUUUUUCCCUUUUUUAAAACCAAUUAAAAAAUGUAUUUCAAAUAAAUCCAAUUAUCACUCACAGGUUUCAUAAGUUUUGGUAUCAAAACGGCGCAUCCUGCGCUAAUUGGGUCAAUCAAACAUGGUUUGCCUUGACCGCCAUCUCUACCUACCUACCUACACCGACAAAAAAAAAAACAAUAUCAAUAUCAAUCUUGAGAUUGGCAACUCUGGUUCGUAAACAAAUAGACGUCAAUUUAUUCAUCUGCUCAAAAAUAAUUAUUUUUUUUACAAAUUUUUCGAUUUAAUUUAUAUAAUUAAUAAAAAGUUUUCAUUUUUAUCAAUUGUUUAAAAGUGAUAAAGCAAAAUUAUAUAAAUUAUAUGCUUUACAUAAGAUAUAAUGCAAAUUUUAUAGUUGCGCGGCACAUUCACGACAUAACCUCUUUUUCUGUUCAUGGCAAAUAAUACUCCUUUUAAACGUAUCCACAGCGAAACCUCACCAGAAUACUCAGUGCAGCAGAUCAACAAAAAAUAUUACUCAUCGUCAUCAAACGCUGGUUCAAGUAAACGAACGAAUAUUGGUAAAAUGGGUGAUGCUUUUUCCUGGGAUUCGUUUCAUAUGAAAAUGAAAAUUAUGCUAGAGAAUGUUGUUAAAAAAGAUGACAUGAGAGUUCUACAAGAAGAAAUCUUAAUAGUAAAAAACGAGAACAUCAAACUUCGGAAAGAAAUUGGCGACAUAAAAAACAAACUCCAAUUUUUUGACCAAAAGUUCCGUCGAAAUAACAUUGUAGUUAGUGGUCUCAAAAGUAGGAACAUCACUGAAGCAAACCAAUCUCUGAUAGGGAUGCAAACGAUACAUCGAUGUUUUCAAAACAUCGAUGUUUUUGUUAAAAACAUCGAUGUAUACAUCGAUGUUUCUUAAGCCGAUACAUCGCCGAUACAUCGACGUUAAAUCUGCAAAACAUCGACAUCGUUCAUUUUGUUACUCGUUUUUCUUUUUUUGCAUAAUAACAGAACUUGAACUCUCAAACUCAAUCUUUUUUGUCUAGUGUUCAAAGCUUUAAAUUUUUUUUUUAAUGUUUUCAUUCAAAAGACUGUUUCUGUGUGUUCAGAAAUCAGAACGCGACCAUCAGAGGCGUACGUUGCCGGGGCUCCGGGACAAUAUUAAUUUUAAGGGGCCAUUUCGACAUUUUUUUAAAAAGGAUAUGUAUACGCCUUUUUCUUUUUUUGGGGGCCCCAGAAGUAUUAUUUGUUGGUCGCUUAGAUUAUUUUAGUAGCAUUUUUUGAGGUCCCUGAGGUAAUAUUUUUUCUACUUUAUUUAUAAUAACAGUUUCCUUCUCUGCAUUGUCUCCGGUCAGGGCCCUAGCGUCAGUUGGGGCCUCGGGGCACCGCCCCGCUUGGCCCAAUGGUGUGUACGCCUAUGGCGACCAUUAUUGACAUGCUUGUGAGUUACGUUCAGAGCUCUGAACGUUAAAAAAAAAGAGUAUGUGUACAUGUAAAUGAAUUUCAUUUGAUAUUUUAAAUAUUUUUGUUUUAUAUUUUUAUUAAAAUAAUCAAACAGCGUAUUUUUUUAACAAUCUCAGUUUAUGGUAUUCUCUGGAAAAUUUUGUAUGCUAUCUCCGUACCUUAACCCAAGACAAUCUGACUUCCCUGAACAUAGUUAUGCAUGAAAAAAUCUUUAUAAUUGGAAAUUAAGAAUCUUCAUACCAAUUUCCGUUGCUAAAUUUUUGAGCAAAAAAAAAUUAAAUUUUAUCUACGAUUGAUGGCCUUUAUAUCAAUACAAGUUUAGUUUUAGUCUAUGUUGUUUUCUUCUCCUUUUAUUUAUGAGUAUUUACCUUUUUGUUUUUUUGUGUUAAGUUGCAUAUAUGGCAAGUUGCCACAAAAAACAAAGCAUGUGGCAAGUUGCCACUUGCCACACGCAACUUGCCACAUGCAACUUGCCACAUGCAACUUGCCACAUGCAACUUGCCACGUGCAACUUGCCACAUGCAACUUGCCACAUGCUACUUGCCACAUGCAACUUGCCACAUGCAACUUGCGACAUGAAUUCUGCCACAUGAUACUUGCCAAACGCAACUUCCCACAUAGAACUUGCCACAUUUUACGUACUGAAUGCCACAUGCCUCGUGCUACUUGCCACAUGCCACAUGCAACUUGCGACAUGAAAUAUGCAACUUGCCACGUAUUGUGUUUUUUUUUAUCGUACUGCGGCGUACUGCAUUUUUUAAUACUAAAGUACUAUCAACUCUAAAGGUAAAACGACAGCCCUGCUGCCCAAGUGUCUCGGAGAUGGCGAUCGCGUCAUAAUCCCUUUGACAUUCUUGUCAAAAAAACAAAUUUUCAUACCCACCGUCCCAUAAAAAGUAUAACUUCAAAAAUUGAUUCCAUUUGAUUAGAAUUGAUGGUAUUUAUAUAUAAAUAAAAACGAAAAUCGUAUUAAGAAAAUAUGUUUCAUUUUGUUGAUAAAUUUGUUUGUUUUGUGGUACCUAAUAAUUGAAUUAAACUUAGGUUUUUGGGUUUUAAACAGAUAAGACAUAAAUAUAUUGUUCUUUAGAUACAGUAGAACGUAUUUAUGUCCAACAAAAAUACAUCGGCAAAACAUCGAUGUAUCGAAGAUAGAACCGAUGUUUUCUUAACAUCGAUGUUGUAAAUAAAACAUCGAUGUAUUCAAACAUCGAUGUUUUUUUUAACGAUGUUGCAUCCCUAAUCUCUGAUGGAUUUAUGUGCUAAAGUUCUCAAAACCAUUGUUGUUAUCAACAGAACAAUAGAGAUCAAAACCAACUCUGACUAUCUUUUCGAAUUGGAUUCUGCAAGUCAAGUUAAUAAUAUCUUGCAUAACAGUGGUAAGCUUCAUGGAAGCGGUGUUUUUGUACAACGUGACUACACAGAAUCUGAACGUCAGCAGCGAUACCACCUACGACAGAUAAAAAAGAAUAUACAUGCGGCCAUCAAAAAUAUCAAGUGCUCGUUCAAAGGUACUACUCUCAUUGUUGAUGAUAAGGCAUUCAAAUGGAAUGAGCUGGGUGUUAUCGCAUCCUCUAAAGAUGACAAACUGUUUCUAUGUGACCUGUUGAGGGGUUCGAAUGCAAACUAUGAUGUGCUAGUGCAAGCUGUGAGACAGAAUACUAAGCAUCAGAGCAGCAGUGGCGUGUCGAGGUCAAAACAAUAACAACAAGAAGUAUGUCAGCUUUUAUCCUAUAAUGUAGCUAAUUUAGUCAAAGGAGCGUAUUUGCAUCAUGCGUUGCUGCAAGGCGGCCGGAAUGUUUACGGCAGAAUUAAGGCUGAGUGGACCACGUAAAAAUCGGGUUAUCGUUUACAAAUCGGUGAAUAACUUUUACAUUUUUAAAGAUAAUUGAAUGAAAUAAAUUUUAUUAUUUAGGUAAUAAACAAGGCUAAAUAUCUUCAUCCCUAUAAUUUCCAAAUUUGUCCACUUGUAAUCAAGAGAGAACAAAACAUGAUAAAAUUUUCGUUGUUUUAGAACGACCUGAAAGACAUUGGUUUGUUUCAUAGUUAGACUAAAAUUUUUAUUUUUUUUAUUUCUAUUUUGGAUUGAGGUUGAAUCAAACUACGGAGUAAAACUAUUUUGAAAAACUAAAAAUGUAUUUUUCAUCGAAAAAAAUUAAUCGAAACUGAAGCUAUUUUUCGUUAUGUUACAAUGUUUGAACAUUUGUAACUUCUGCAAUUAUUAAUAAAAUUCAUCGAAAUAAAAAGAAAUAAGUAACUCAACUCAAAUACUAACACAUUGAUUAGUUUAAAAAAUUUAUAUUAAGUUUUAAGGGCUUAAACAACAAAAAAAUGUUAAAAAGUCAUUUUUUCUUAACUUUUUUAAAACAAAGUGGUUUAAUUUCUUUGUUUUUCAAAGUAUGAUUUUGAUUUUUAUUUUAUUUAAAAGCUUAGUUUAUUGACUAUGGAGUAAAGGUAUAUUUUGUUGGAAAAUAUUAUUUUGUAACCCUCCAAUCGCUUUUAAAGGAGUCCCAAAAACAAUAAACUGUACUAAGAAACCAGAAUUUUUAGAUUUUUUGUUAUAUUUUUUUUAUUUUUUUUCAUUAUUUUUUCUAUCAAUAUCGAGUUAGAAAAC